rnacentral:rRNA from 1 species
UACGGAGGGUGCAAGCGUUGUCCGGAAUUAUUGGGCGUAAAGAGCUCGUAGGCGGUUUGUCGCGUCUGCUGUGAAAACCCGGGGCUCAACCCCGGGCCUGCAGUCGAUACGGGCAGACUAGAGUGCGGUAGGGGAGACUUGGAAUUCCUGGUGUAGCGGUGAAUGCGCAGAUAUCAGGAGGAACACCGGUGGCGAAGGCGGAUCUCUGGGCCGUAACUGACGCUGAGGAGCGAAAGCUGGGGAGCGAACAGG